rnacentral:rRNA from 1 species
AUUGAACGCUGGCGGCAGGCCUAACACAUGCAAGUCGAGCGGAGCGGCGGACGGGUGAGUAAUGCCUAGGAAUCUGCCUGGUAGUGGCGGAUAACGUCCGGAAACGGGCGCUAAUACCGCAUGAUAUCAGAUGAGCCUAGGUCGGAGUGGCUAGUUGGUGGGGUAAAGGCCUACCAAGGCGACGAUCAGGAACUGGUCUGAGAGGAUGAUCAGUCACACUGGAACUGAGACACGGUCCAGACUCCUACGGGAGGCAGCAGUGGGGGAUCUUGCACAAUGGGCGAAAGCCUGAUGCAGCCAUGCCGCGUGUAUGAAGAAGGCCUUAGGGUUGUAAAGUACUUUCAGCGGGGAGGCGUUACCCGCAGAGGAAGCACCGGCUAACUCCGUGCCAGCAGCCGCGGUAAUUC